rnacentral:rRNA from 1 species
UACGAAGGGGGCUAGCGUUGCUCGGAAUCACUGGGCGUAAAGGGUGCGUAGGCGGUUCUUUAAGUCAGUGGUGAAAUCCUGGAGCUCAACUCCAGAACUGCCUUUGAUACUGAGGAUCUUGAGUCCGGGAGAGGUGAGUGGAACUGCGAGUGUAGAGGUGAAAUUCGUAGAUAUUCGCAAGAACACCAGUGGCGAAGGCGGCUCACUGGCCCGGUACUGACGCUGAGGCACGAAAGCGUGGGGAGCAAACAGG